AAAAAUGACUGCUGACUAUCAUACCGAAACAGCGGAACGAAUGUGCGAGAUUUCAGACGUUUUGUUUUGACCAAAAUAUCCAUACAGUUAACACAUAUGACAGACGGAUAUCUUCCUGUCGUUAUCUGGUGGAUUUAAUUGCAUGACCAGCAGAGAUAAGGGGAGUCAAAAUGUUCAGGAUCCAAAUCCAUUCUAAUCCGAAAUCGGAAUUCAAAUCGAAAUCCAACUUCGUACUCCAAAAUUACGAAACAAAGCUACCUUCACAUUGUAACAUCGUGGAUUCGUAGGGUAUUCUGAUCAUCGGUCGCAGAAUAAGCAAUUCAAAGAAACAAUUGUCUGUGCUAUAUCAACCCUAUUAUUUGCCAUAAAUCUGCUGGAAUCUAUAUAUUGGAGAUAGAAUUGUAGAAGAAAAAAUCAGAAGAAAGAAAACUUAAAAAUUCCAAACUUAAGAAGUUGAAUGGUCUCAUUCGCCUAAUUGAAGAGAAUAAUUUCAAAUGUCUUCGACACACAUGGAACAUACCAAACAAUUAGCGUCUCAAGAGGUGGCGGGACCGCGGCCGACAAAAAUACCUUUAAAAUGACGUGUUCGGUUUAAGCCAAGAACGAAAGAUUACGUAUACUGUUCAGGGGUUUCAAGCAUGUAAUUAAUAUCAGAGUGAUAUUAGGACUCGAACAUCAGUAUUUGUUAAUGUUAUAAUACGAAAGAUCAUUUACUUGAACAUUACACAGUAAUUGAAACCUUUUUGAAAAUUCAAAUUACGAACAAACAGAUCUGAAGUCUCGUCCAUUCUUGGCAUUAGUCACAUCUUCUACAAUACAUAAUGUAGAGUACGAGUCAGCCCAAAUUUAUACGUUUUCUCGAAAUUUCAAGUAACCCAGUAAACGAAAUAAAGUCAUUUCAAAUGAUGAUAUGAGUUUGCCCCUAAUAACAGUGUCCAGUUGCAAAACAACAAGAUCUUGGUAGAUACGAGGUGACGUUGGUUUAUACCGAAUAAGAUUCUCUCCUUUCUACGUUAUAUGAGGAAAUCUACUCAUGUAAUUAAGAAAAGCAUAAUAGUCAUCAAACCUGGCAAGGAAAUUGGACGAUUCAAUGUUGUUACUCACAUCUCUAACUCGAAGCAUAGUUUGCCAAUCCACUCCCCAUCCUUGCGAGUGAUAGAGAAAGUCCUUUGGUUAUAAGUGUGCAAAACACGACAACACCGACGCUGUUAUAUUCUAAAUCGAGCACGUCGCAGAAUUUCUGCUUGCUUCUACUGGCGCAGAGCCCCUUAACUUAAAAAAAGAUAUAUGGCAAAAAUGAAUUUGGAAUAAGAGCAUAAAACAGUUCAAAUUGGGGAUCGCCCUCAGGGCGGAAUGAAUCUUUUUUCUGUUUUCAGCCACAGCCACACGCCCGGUUUAUCUUUAGAAGAUCAUUUUCCUAAACCCCAACAAAUAAUUUUUAAUACUUAUAGAGCACUAUUUCAAAUAUUUAAUUGAACGUAACUGGUAUAGGAUACAACAGUCAAUAUUAAAAUACAGGUAAGAGAUGGAAAAAUGUGACCUGCGUGGAGUAAUUUCUGUCACAGGUGCCACAAAGUUAUUUUAGAAUUAGCGAAGAAAAGAGUACAAUAAAUAAAUUUGAAGCGAAAAAUUGUUUCGUUGCGUGGUGUGACGUGUGAGGGAGACUUGCUUUUUACUUCCAUUGAUAUCAGUCAUUAUUAACACCCUAAAUAGUCGCAUUGUUACAAACAUGUUUUUUUUCCAAAAUCAGCAGGUUACGGUAUAGAUAUAUAUACAGUGGUGAGAUUCAGCCGGUUCGCACCGGUUCUUUAGAACCGUCUCACGGAAUUUUAUGAGAUCAGCGAACCGGUUAGCAUUACUGAUUACUGUCAAUAUUCUGGUUGUAAUAGAACCGGCUGAAAAAUAUGACUUUUGUGAAGGAACCGGCUGACAAAAAAAUUGAAUCCCACCACUGUAUAUAUAUAUAUAUAUAUAAAUUGCAGGACCGCAAUAAAAUUUGCAUCAA